AUUGAACGCUGGCGGCAGGCUUAACACAUGCAAGUCGAGCGGGGGAAGGUAGCUUGCUACCGGACCUAGCGGCGGACGGGUGAGUAAUGCUUAGGAAUCUGCCUAUUAGUGGGGGACAACAUUCCGAAAGGAAUGCUAAUACCGCAUACGUCCUACGGGAGAAAGCAGGGGAUCUUCGGACCUUGCGCUUAUAGAUGGGCCUAAGUCGGAUUAGCUAGUUGGUGGGGUAAAGGCCUACCAAGGCGACGAUCUGUAGCGGGUCUGAGAGGAUGAUCCGCCACACUGGGACUGAGACACGGCCCAGACUCCUACGGGAGGCAGCAGUGGGGAAUAUUGGACAAUGGGGGGAACCCUGACCCAGCCAUGCCGCGUGUGUGAAGAAGGCCUUAUGGUUGUAAAGCACUUUAAGCGAGGAGGAGGCUACUGAGACUAAUACUCUUGGAUAGUGGACGUUACUCGCAGAAUAAGCACCGGCUAACUCUGUGCCAGCCGCCGCGGUAA
rnacentral:rRNA from 1 species